rnacentral:lncRNA from 1 species
GCAGGCAUCUACGUGUGCGCCAGCUGCGGGAACAAGCUGUUCGCGAGUGGCUCGAAGUUCGCCCACAAGUCGCCCUGGCCAUCAUUCAGCAAUACCAUACACAAGAACAGCGUCAAGAAAGUGCCCGAACCGAAUAAGCCAAAAGCGCUGAGGGUGUACUGCGGCCAGUGCGAUACGAGGUUGGGCCACGAGUUCCUCGGUGAAGGUCCCAAGGGCAAAUCGCGCUUUUGAAUCACAUCGGAGUCCCUCAAAUUUGUCGGCAAGGAUGAUGACGAUGGUGCCCCGAGCAAGGGUGGAUGAGGUGGGGCGAAGUAAGGGCAGCAAGCAUUCUUCGGUGCUGUCAUAGUUGAGACACCCUCGGCUGCUGCCCUUUGCUCAGCGGUGCUAAUGGAAAGAUGUCGCGAACGGCUCGGUAUGGUGCGACAACGCACAUAUGACGGUGACCGGCAAAUCCCUCAAAAAAGGAACCGGGCCACUCGAUGGUUGCCAUCCGCAGCCACCCCACGACAUAGCAAGUUUGUGAGCAGGCCACGUGCUCAUUGGUCUUC